CCUCAAUCAAGGGACAUGCGGGGACACCUGCGAUCGUGGUUGACAUGGCUCUGCAGCAGCUGGCAACUGCUACCACGCUAAUGGCCUGCAAACCAUGAGGCGCAUAACUGAACUUAGUAUGACAUAUACCACUUAAAAGGCUGAACGUAUUUUUUACAGUCUGUGGGCUGAACACGGGCGCAAUUGCGUAUGCUCACUUUUUCUACGGCAGUUUCUCCAGGAUGCACUGUGGCAUUGCAGCUAACGCGAAAAUGGCUGAUCUGACCUGCAUGCAGAUCAACUGCCAACACCUGGCAGAAAUAAGCAGAGGGCAGACCACAGCUG